rnacentral:lncRNA from 1 species
UUAAAUCCAAGUUUUGGCAACCUAAAAAUUCCCCAAAAUAAUCCCCAAAGCUUCCAGACCUGGAAUUGAAAUUUAGAUCUGAAAAUCUCUUAUAUUUUAACUUCUUCAAUAGGAAAAACCAAAAACAAACAAAUUCAAAAAAAAAAACAAAACAAAAUGGCUUACUGUUUCAUUAAGCCAUGAUAGACUCUAGUUUAAUUUUCAACUAACACCUUCGUAUCUGCUAGUUUUAGCUGAGUUGAAGUAGUCUGGUAUAUCUCAGCUGGGUGUUUCAUUUGCUGAGCUUGACUUGGGUUUGAUUUUGAAUUUUCUGAGCAGUUUGGGUCACCUAGAUGUGUACUGGAGUAGUUUUGUAGCUUACAUCUCAUGUUUGACUUUAUUCAAGUUCCAGUGAGUCCUUUGGUUUUGUUAUUUGCUACUGUUGUUGAAUUUCAACUUGUUCUGGACUGGGAUUCCAUUUCUGGGCUGUGAUUCUUGCGUUUGGUUGCUCAUUGCUGGGUUAUACUGAUGCUAACUACUUCAUUUUCCUUUUGCCAUUCAAACAUUCAGGUACUCGAUCUCAAUUCUAACUUGAUGUAAUCAAUGGAGAAAUGCUAUAAAGUAUUCACUCAUUUGUUUUUGGAAAUCAC